GGACUGAACGGCAUGCUAUUUUUGGUUGGCACACCCAAAGGGGUCGACCCCAUGAGUCGACCUCUGAUGCUGUGCAGGCCAAAGAUACAAAAUAGUAAUUUUCUAUUCUGUGCCACAGAGGUCGACCCCAUGAGUCGACCCCUUGUGACGAAAACUUCCGUAACGACAGUUUUCAGCUCUUUUUGGCAGCAUUUAAUGCUCUUUUAAUGAUCUCCAAUGGCUCUAUUUCAGUCCAGAUUUCUCUCUACCAUUUAUUGAAGCUAUAAAGAUACUUAAAGCAGGAAAAAAGAAGCA
rnacentral:lncRNA from 1 species